GCACGCUCGGCUCCGGCGGCAAGGCAUGGCUGCGGGCUAGGAUGAUGAGACCGUGGGUCGUGAAUGUGGAUGGGUGGUAGCCAUGGCCUCUCUCUCAUCUUCGAUUCUAUAGUUUCUUCAUCUGCUCUCUUCAACUAGCCCUAAUACAUUUUCGUGUUGCAGGUUUUGAAUCGUUGACACAUGGUUUGCUUGAGACAAGCGAAGCUGCUGAGGUGAUUUGUACACCUAAACUGCUUCAGGUUAAUGUCAAGGGCUUGAAAGGUGUGAGGGAAGUAAAGAUGGAUCUAUACAUAGGGUGUAUGAUCUAGUGCAUAUUAGAUAAUCAAAGUUGAUGCAUAUGUUACAGGUAUAGAGUUGUGCACCAAUCUAGUUGAUGUUCACAUAAUCCCCAAGCUGAUUUAUCGAUUAGAAGAGUCAUGUAUUAUUGUAGCUUUCUCUCUACAUCAAGUACACAUAAAUAUAAUGCCGAAGAAUGUAGUUUCUUUCAUUGUUCUGCAGAUCUUCCCCGCGAGGUGCUACAAAUCAGAUGGGCGCUGUCGUGAAGGCCGCGAAGGUGUGGCCGAUGGCACAGGUUAGCCUGUGGGUGGCACCAUCGUGCUGCUCUAGACGUGCAUUGUGGUGCUGCUCGUGGCGGCUUUCGGAGGGAGACAGAGUGCAGAACAUAGAGAGUUUGGGAGCUACUCGGGUUUGGAUCAGCAAGCCAUGUCUGUUUGGUUUGGCAAAGGAAGAUUUUAGCAGCAUUGCUACACCUCUCAAUGAGAUUACAAAGAAGGAUGUGCCUUUUGUUUGGGGUACCGCACAGGAAGAAGCCUUCACGGUGUUGAAAGAUAAGUUGACACAUGCUCCUUU